UGUAAGCGUAUACCAAAGUUGUUGCAGUUAAAACGCUCGUAGUCGGACUUUGGCAGUUCCGGAUGUGUGCACGUCGUGUGCGCACUUCGCGGGGAUUGCUUUUGUGGUCUUGCGUAGGAUGAGGCACUUUUAUUAGUGAACGUCCUCACGCAACCACUUUUUACUGUGAGAAAAUCAGAGUGCUCAAAGCAGGCAUUUGCCGCGAAUGUAUUAGCAUGGAAUAAUAGAAUAGGACUUGGUUCUAUUUUGUUGGUUUGUUGGGACUGAGUAAUGAUUAAGAGGGACAGUUGGGGGCAUUUGUAUUUCGGUGCUAGAGGUGAAAUUCUUAGAUUACCGAAAGACAAACUGCUGCGAAAGCGUCUGCCAAGGAUGUUUUCAUUGA
rnacentral:rRNA from 1 species